CGUGAGAGAGAAAAGUCUCUCACGGACUUAGAAAAUAGCAAGAAAAUCCUUGCUAGCAGCAUUUUUGUAUCUACAUCCUUGGCUUGGCCACCAGCAGGGCAAAGCUGAUUGUGGUUACAGCACCUUCCUUGAGGACAGUCUACACCCAGUUGAAAUCAAGAAGAUUCUAGCUGGUGCCUGGACUGCAUCGGGAAGUGCUGUGAUCAUCUGCAGAGUGGAUUCACUGCCAGUGCUACCCUGGCCACUAUCUGCAGGUACAUCUCCUUCAAGACAGAUGAGGACAUCAUCUGGGAUCAGCUCCUCUUCCAGCAGCAGGUCUCUUAAGGUGGGUACCUGACCUCACAGCAUGGGUAGCAUAAUGGGUAGUGGAAGACAGCAGCAGGCACAUAUGCUUCCCCCCACCCUUCCAAGUAUAAGGAGGCUGAUCUCCCAUGGCUAACUGGAGGAGGUGGUGUAAGUCCUGCCACCCUGCUCUCUUUCAGAAUGGAGAACUGAUCAGGUUUGGGUGCAGCUCUGAGCAUGGCCAGUAGCUCAGGCACUGCAAAUAGAGAAGGCUGUGGACAGGAGCCUUCUCCAACUGACCAUUUUCUGGUUUCUGUCCCCAAAGUGCCAGCACCUCAUCACAGCAAAACAGCAUCACUGAGCCUGUCAAUUUGGUGGUGGUGAUGGGGUGUUUAUUUGCUGUCAAAAAAAAAACUUUUUUGUAAUCAGAGUAUUUCUUUCAUCCUUUUCCAAGCUUUUGGUCCCCUUCCUCUAGGAUAACCCUUUGUGUCCUUUACACACUGGCUUUAUUGGAGUUGGGAGGGGGUUAAGCAACCUGAAAAAUGAAACAACAGCUCCUGUUGUUUCAAACUGCAGUAGCUACUUCAGUGACCCUGAACUGCCACACAGGCACAUACCUUUUUGGUGCUGCUGUCUGUCCCCUAACAACACAAUCACCAAAUGUUUUCACCCAGCCCUAACAGACCUCCACAGACCAAACAAACCCCAUAAACUUGAGGAAAGGACAAACCAUGCUGGGUGUUAAAAAAACAUGCCCUCAAUAAAACAAAAAAUGGUAUUAUGCCAUGUUAGUUAUCUUUAUGCCUACUUUGUACUAACCUCAUGCCUUUUUGUGAGCAGUAAUUUGGUAUAACCCUGCAUGCAAGAGCCACUAAAAAUUGUCCCCGUCCCCUUGCAACUAUCUAUAAAAUUAUCUGAGUAAUAUAAUUAAACACAACUUACACUUUUUCCUCAACCAAACCCCAACUGAACUGACCAAAUAUAGUAACUUUUUCUAUAAGCUUUCCAUAAUUACACCUAAUACUUGUCUUCUAUUUGGCCAACAAGCAAUGUGUGGUCUCCAGCAAUACUGGUACCAUCAUGUUCUAUUCACUUGCCUGUCACAGAUACACUGGUUCUCUGGUUCUGAUUAAAUAAAUUGUGCUUUGGUAAAAAUAAAUAUAAAAAAAGCUUUCCAUAUUGCAAUCCAACUGUCACUCAUUAUUACUCACAAUUUUUUUCAUGCCUAUACCUGUAACAAGAUAAAAUAACAAUUUUGGUUUUUUUCCUUGCUACUGCUUUUCCUGGUACCUCCCAUUCGGAUAUUGCUCUGGAUAUUUUGUUGAAUUUGCUUUAAUUUUCUGGUAGCAAGAACUUGGGAAUCUCUUCAAUUAACAUGCCCAUGCUAACACUUUGUAAUUUUUCUUUUAAAAAACUACUAGAAAUCUUGAUUUUAAGAAAGAAUGUACUGAUGCUUUAUCUCUACCUCAGAAAAAGUCCUUAUCUGACUGUCAUGGUUUACAAUUGAAGCUGCAGUUUUCCCUCUGCCAUAAAAUGUCCAGCUUCAAUGGGGUGGUUUAGAAGAAGUAAAUCAGAAGAUUGGUCCCCCACCACAUGCCAAAUAAAGUUUUAACAGAGUUUUGUAAACACUGAAAACCUCCUAAGUAUCCGUUUAUCUUGAGAAUACCUACCAUUAAGAACUCAUCAAGAGUUGAGAGUUUCUACUGAAUAAGUAUACAACAAAAAGCAAAGAGUUAACAGCACAAUGAUCUAUGUGAUUGCCAAACUGUAAUUGUCUCCUAUUUAAUACACAGGCCUAAGUAGAUCUGCUACUUAGGUAUCUCAACAGGGAAGGAAUUUUAUUUUUCAAGUCCAGAAGACAUCCAGAGACAGAAAGCUUUAGUUUUGCAUUGUCAAGAUGGCUGUUCUUUGAAAACAGCUCUGGUCAAGCAGAGGUAGUAACUCUUGGGAUUGCAAAGGUCCUGAAACUUGCCUUGCUUUGAGAAAUACUCCCAAAAGGCUAGCAAUUUCCAAGAUGAAAACACCCUUUACAUGUCCAAAAGAGUAAUUCCUCUCAGACCAAGGCUCCUGCUGGCCUCAAGAAAAGUUCAACACCGGGGCAGUGCCACUUCAAACACUUCAGAAUGGCCUCUGCAGGUGCUACUGAUUUCCUACUUGUCAGCUCGAAGAGUGGAAGUUCUUAAUAGUAUUCACUGUCUACAGGGAGUAUGCUACCAACAUAAACCACAUCAUUGCAGAAAACACCUUUUUCCUUGUGAAGCUCCUCUGCUCCAUGGUAAUACUGUCAAACAGUAGCAGACUAGGUUAAGAAAAAAAAAUUCAAACUCAUACUUCCAAAGGCAAAAAGAUACCUGUUAAGAAUAUAAAGAUCAGAUUCUAUUAUUCUACAGAUUUUGCUCUGUCCUGUUAGCAUCUCAGUAUUCAAAAGAAAACACAAAACAUCCAGUUUUGGUCAGUAAAGUGUCCAUUUAAUAAACUCCUUAGCCACAUUUCUCACCCCCUUCCUCCCACCAUAAAAUUUCAAUUCGCACUUAAGCGGAUGACACAAUUUGAUGGUGUAUAACUUCCAUUUUUAAAACUGUACUCUUAAUACUAAGAGUAUCAGGGGCUAGUAUUUGACAAAAUUACAUAGAAGUCAGAUGUGCCCAUGCAAAAGAAGCAGAUCUUUAUAUACAGUCCCUAUUUUUUCUUAUAAAUUUAAAUAUUUUAAAAAAUGUAUUUUCAAAAUGUAUAAAGUUUAGGGAAUACCCCAAAUGUAUCUUAAAAUAAAAUGCUUUCUGGUUUCAAAGGUUAUUUCAACAAUGAAGUUUAAAUUGCACCAGAUAAAAGGCACUUGUGCUGUGUGAUGUCUUAAGCAAGUAUAUGUUAGUUUUGUAAUACAGUGUCUUGAAUUCAUGCAGCUGUCUCUGAGCAUCAAGCAUCAUUAAAGCA